GUCCCGAUCCCGUGAGCUUGUUAUCGACUUCUCUAUCGGGAUUGUGUUCUUUGACCAAUUUGGAUCUAAGUUAUUGCAAUCUCAAGGCAAUCCCCAGUGAUGUUGGUUGCUUAUUCUUUCUAAAAGAGUUAAACUUAAGUGGAAAUAAUUUUGGUUGCCUUCCGGAAAGCAUUUCUCAAUUAUCUAAUUUGAGGUUUUUAGGCGUGGAGAAUUGCAAGAAUCUUCGAUUAUUGCCAAAGCCUCCAUUAAAUAUUUGUCAUAUUUGGGGAUAUGGUUGUACCUCACUGGAAACCAUACCCGUACCGCAUCUAUUGAAGCUAAAUUCUUUAGGUUACUCAGCGCUACUCCUUUCAAAUUGCAGUAAAUUGGCUAACAAACAAUGCUUCAUCGACAUGUUAUUUGCACUGAUUAGAAGGCACCAUCAGGUCUCUUUCUCUCUCUCUCUCUCUCUCUCUCUCUCUCUCAGAGUUCUAAACAACAUGCGUGGUGUGUUUCAGGGACACUUUCUUGACAGCAGAUUUGACAUUGUUAUUCCUGGAAGUGAAAUUCCAAAUUGGUUUAGGCAUCAAAGUAUUGGGAAUGAAGUUAGUAUACAAGAACCUUAUUCUCUUUUGUGUAACGAGUGGAUGGGGAUUGCUGUUUGCGUUGUAUUUUGUUCUCUUCCACAUCACCAAAUCCACAAAGACCGUUCUCUUGCCUGUUACUUGAUAGCCAACGGAAAACAAAUGUCUUACAAUCCGAUCACUAGAAAAAUUGUUGCUUUAUCAGAUCAUAUUUGGCUAAUUUAUUUGCUUCCUCAAUACUACAAGGAGGAAGACAUAAAAUCAGCGUGGGAAUGUGAUGCAAAUGGAUUCAAUCAGAUUGGGGUUAGAAUUGGAAACAUUUGUAAGGGAUUGGAGGUGAAGAAAUGUGGGUUGCGAUUGGUAUACAAGAAAGACAUCGAAGAUCUUAAUCAAACUAUGACUCAAAGACAUCAUAAUUUCGACAAUUCGAUGACGGCAGCAGAAGGUUACAAGGCCAAGCGAACCCGAGAUGACUAUGAUGAGGCUGGAAGCUCUAACGAUGAACCUCACCCAAAAAGGAUUGGUAACUAUAACUGUGAGGAGUCAAGUGAGUACAAAGACUGUCAUGAAGAGCUAAGUGAAAGUGACCUUGAAGGUUAAUCAACUUUUUCCUCUGGUAACCAACAUUACAAAAAACAAAGAAAAACCUUGACAGCAACAGGAUAAGCAAGUGUAGACCUUUAGAGUGUGUCACAACUGGCAACCAAUCCUGUUGGAGUCGAGCUACAAGGGGGUAGGAGAAGGAAAUACAGGGGAUCCAAGCUUCUUUUGAAAAAAUAGAAAAUAGGUGGCAAAGUUGGCCAAUUGAGAGGUUGUGGUGAAGGACAUUCAACAGCUUACAAAUGUUUGGGUUUGACAGGUGGACAUAUGUCCUAGCAGAGCCUUGAUCCCUAGUUACCCUAAGUUCUUUAUGAACAAUAGCUUGGAUAACAGGCGGCAAACUCUGAAUCUUGUACACUUUUCUUCUUGCGCUGCUUUGGUUUCAAUGUGCAAAAAAAGAAUGGCAAGACAAAGCUUUUCGUUGGUGGUUUAAAUAGAAGUAGAAAUCAUGUGCUGGAAAGCAAGUAAACAUCGACACUGGAAGCUCUCACUGCCAAAGGUAUGCACAAGCCUAUCAUGCAAAUUUGGAUCAGAGUAACUGUAGGAGAGUACCGAGGCGAGUGUGUCCAGUUGUGGAGGGAUAGCUAGUGUUGCUAACAGUUAAGCAACACUUGCAAAGACGGUGCAGAUGGAGUGGUUUUGCCUAAAUCAUGUGCUGGCAAGAAAAUUUUGAAGGCGUUGCAGUUCUGCCAUGCAGCUGAGUAGCUGCUAGAAGCCUAGCUGUUUUGCUUUGCAUCAUUCAUCUCUUGUAACAUUAAAGAAAUUUCCAGUAGAAGAACUUGGCUUGGAUGGGGUGCUGAUUGUUGAGCAUAUAAUGUUUCAAUUCAUAAGAAUCUAGAAGAAACUUCUACAAGCAUAUUUUCUUGUUAACUACAAUAAGGAGUAUCCCCUAUUGAAUUUCUUAUUUGCUAUACAUGAAAGAAAGUGUAUGAAACAGCAUGACAUUUCCUUUUU